GAUUUAGUCUGAGAAUAACACUGAUAGCACACUGAUGUUUUCGUUGAGGCUGUCCAGUGCUUACCCUAAGUCAAGGACUUUUCAGUUUCCCAGGCUCUGCCAGGGAGCAGGUGCACAAGACUGGGAGGGAGCAUGGACAGGACAGCUGACCUGAACUGGCCAAAGCACUGGCCAGUAAUAGCCAUAUGCUAUUCCAUAGCAUAGAAUGUCAUGUUCAGUGCAUAAACUGGGAGGAGCUGACAGGAAGCCACUGACCACUGCUGGGGGAUGGGCUGGGCAUCGAUCCCAUGGAAGCAGGGAAAGAUAAUAAAAAACACAAAAUGCAUUGGCUUACAAGAGUUUGCGCUGUGGAUGUAGAAGAUCAGAAUUAUGUGAUUCUUGGCAGACUUGAUUUCAACUAGAAGACAGGACUUGAUGUGAACUUCUUGACCUGUGAGAGGCACUUUGUGAAAGAGGGACUGCGAGAGAGUAUGUGAUGUGCAAAGCCUACGCAUUCAACUUCCACGCUCUGAGGGAGCACGAGGAGAAUUCUGAAUAGGCUACAUGAAGUAUGGGCUAAGAAGGUGGAAAAGUGCAGAACUUCCAGAUGGUAGUCCAUAAUCUUUAGUGACCUCAUGCACGAAAGUAUUCAUGAGGUUUUCCUUUUGUGCAGGCAAUAUUAUCAGGCCAAAUAUAAAAUACAGAAUUAAUCAUUCAGAUUUUUAUUUAUUUUUGUCUAUUAGUCUAGUUUAAGAAACAGAGUGCAAUCUGAUAGCUUGUCACCAGAGGAGGAAGUAACAUGUGCUGAAGAGGCCCCACUGCAUAAUAAGUUUUCAGAAAGAGAGAAGCAAAAUGUCCUGUUUGCUGAUGGGUCCUGUCAUAUUGUAGGGAAGCAUCAGAGACAGAGAACGCUUGUACGGAGUUCCCUGCUCCGUACAGAAACUGCUGAGGGAGAAGGUUUGCAGAUGUGAAAGCUAUCCAGCUGGCUUUAGGCAUUGCUGAAUGAGAGAGAUGGCCAGCAUUUUAUCUCUACACUGACUCAUGGAUAUUGGCAAAUGCCCUAUGGGAGUGGUUGCAGUGAUAGAAGCAGAACAAUUGACAGAUAUGGCAUUGUGGCAUUGACACUGCUGUGGCAAGAUACUGAUGCCUGGGUGAAGAUGCUCGGUUUGAAAAUACAUCAUGCAGAUGCUCAAGUGUUCAAGAGUUGGGUCACAGAAGAAAAUCAGAAUAACCAGCAGAUGGAUCAGGCUGCUAAGACUAAAGUAUCUCAGGUGAAUCUGGAUUGGCAACAUAAGUGUGAACAAUUUUUAGCUCAGUGGGCCCACCUUGGGCCCCUUGGGCCAUAAAGGAAGGAUGUAACCCACAGCUGGGCUCAUGACCAAAAGGUGGAACUUAUCCAUGGACACUCUCACAGAGGUUUUCCAUUAAUGUGAAACAUGAGCUGCAGUCAAGCAGGACAAGCUUGUGUGGAGGAUGGUGUCUGCAGUAUAAACACGGGAGGGCCUGGCAGGUUGGCUCUAACUCACUCCCACCAACCCACCAGGGCUGGGGCCACGUGCCUACAGUGGUGGAAGCAGCCACUGGAUGGCUGGACACAGAUCCAAGCCACUGCCCACAACACUGUCCUGGGCCUUGGGAAGCAGGACUUAUGGUGACAUGAUACUCCAGACAGACAACGGGACUCAUUUCUGAAAUAACUUAAAAGACACCUGGCCUAAAGAGCAGGGCAUGGAGUUAGCUGUAUCACAUCCCCUAUAAUGCACCAGCCUCCAGGAAAAUCUACUGGUACACUGAACUGUUAAAGAUGAAACACAACAAUAGGUGGUGGGGCAUUCAAAUGUUGGGAGCCACUGAUCACUGCUGGGACAUAUGCUGGGCAUCAAUCGGUGACCAAAUAUGUUGUGCACCAUUUGUUUCUCUUGGUUUUAUUCCCCACUCUCUCUCUCCUUUUUGUAACUAUAUUAUUAUUAUUAUCAUCAUCAUCAUCAUCACCAUUAUUCUCAGCUGUAUUUCAAUUCUUUAAUUGUUAUCAACCCAUGGGGUUCAUUGUUUUAUCCAAUUCUCCUCCCCAUCACACCAGAGAGGCAGGGGAUAGUGAGUGAGCAGCUGUGUGGUAUUUAGCUGCUGGCUGAGGUUAAAAUGUGACAUAAUUUCAUGAAGCAAAUGCUCUUCAGUUAAGCUUCAUGAUCCAUGGUAGAUGUCAAGCCAUGGCCCGAACGCAACCUUUUGAAGAUCUGCAAGAAUUACAGGCAGACAAGCAUUUGCUUGCUCUGUGGUGUAACAUUGCCCUCUCUAAUCUGAAAAGUUGAUCCAGCUGUGGGCAAGGUUUCUGUCUCCAUCUAUUUGGCCACCCAAAAUAAAUAUGGCAUGAUUUAACUCCUACUUAUCUUCCAAUACUGUAUUUUGAUAUUGGGUUCAAAUCAUCCAAUAUGGAAUGUACUUUGAAAAUAAUUUCAAUGUUUCACAAGUAAGUUUCCACUCUAACAAUCAUAUCCUGAGAUAUAAAGCCUCCUUUUCUCUUGGCAUGAAAAGCACUUUAUAAACAUUCAUUAAUCUCAUCCUUAUUUUGAAAAUGUGAGAAUUAGCACAUGCAAAUGUAGUUGCAAAAAUCCACAAAGUAAACCAAAGGAAGAAUAAAUCACAUCUGCUUCCUGGACAAUCUACUCCUCACACCUCAAGUUCCCAGCAGUUAAUCAUAAACUGAAGAAUUAGAUUGAAAUAACCUAUAAACCCGGUUCUUUGAAACACAGUACAUUUCAUAGAAAUGUUGUUCAGCCUUCUCUAUUCAGUAACGCUGUUUGGAAUUGGUAGGAGACUCAGAGUCUCAGAAGAACAUCAGCCAAUUUUCAGUUCUUAAUAAAGUAGUUGCUAACAGUAGCCUUAUAUAGGGAUACAUGUUUUGAUUGAAGAAGAAUUUUGAAACAUUUUAACCAUCAGUUUAAAACACAGACUGAUAAUUCACUGUUUUCUAUAAAAGUUUUGCCAUUUAAAACUUUUUCAAUAAUUUUAACAUCCGUUUUUUCCUGAGUUUGAUCACUUUUGUCAUGAGACCUGAAUGAAAUUGUACCCUAGUUUUACUAGAUACUUCCUGGAUAACUAGGACAUACUUAUGUGACUUCCAUCAGAGUAUAAGUCACAAAUUUUUACCUUUGGCAUUGGGCUUGAACACAUAUCAGUGACAAUUUUGCUUGUAAAGUCAGAUAGCUUUUUUGGCUGGGAAAACCCACAAGAAUCCUAAAACUGUUACUCUCUGUCAAGCUAUCUACAUACUCUAAGGCAUUCAAAUCAAGACCAAAUACGCUUGGAAAAGAUGGCAGCAUAUGCAGAACAUCAGCAUUUUGCUAAAUCACUUCUUUUGCCAAAUCAUGUCCUUCUCUGGAGGACUGCCAUCCAAACCUGGAGGAUGCAAAAAGCAAAGGAUUCGUGCUUUUUAAAGAAAUGCAAAAUGUUGUCAGAUCAUAAGAUAUAUGAAAAAAUACUGCCAGCUGUUCAAUUUACUGAAACAUUCUGAGAGAGUGUAGCGCAGUGUAGUCUGCAGAUGAGAGGGCAGAAAUUGGCUUAGGAUCAGGAAAUAUCUUGUACUGGAACAAUCAGCCAACAUGCAAAAAAGAGCCUGAAAAAACUGUAGGAUUAAUUAUGUAAUAUACAUAUGUUUCCCAUAAACUUGACUUUCAAAUUCAGAAUAAUUUACAAUAAUUAAAAGCAUUCUCCAGCUCAGGUCAAGAUAUCAGAGUUGUUAAAUACUGGUAACGACUAGUGCUUGAUAUAUUUUCUUUGACCUUUUCUACUACUGGAAUUUACUUCUUUUUAAAAUUUGUUUUUUUCUUUAGAAAAAUGGAAAGAUAAACAAGUCUUCAGGAGGAAAAAAAAGCCAUAGGGGGGAAAAAAAUCUGAGUUUUUCAAAAUUCUAGACUAUUUCUUUAUAUACCCACAUCACACCUAUAAUUUGAUUGAAUUUUAGCAUAUUGUUGACUCCUGUUCUCUUAAUUGCAUGCAGCUACUGAAUGAAAAGUGACAAAGAACGUGAUUUAUAUAUGACAUAAUAGAACAAGGUUUCAUUCUGCUUCUGUUUGUGCUAUUUGAAGGAAUAAGCUUUUAGGGUGCCAAAAUUAUUGCUAGCCUUGUUAACUACUUUGGAAGCAAAAUAGUUGACAUAAGGAUAGCCAAAUCUGUUCUUUUAUGAAAGUGUAAUAAGACAGAAAAUCAUUUCAUUGUCAGAUAAUGCUUCAGUUUAUACAACACAAUUAGAUUUGCAAUAAACUACAAACAGAUUUGAUAAUGUCACUUACAACAAUAAUCCUGGAAGAAGCAAGAGUGUAGCAUUUAGCUCCCUGACGCUGAUGAGCUGGAAGCAACCUGCCAGGGUGCAGCUGAUUACCCAAUCCAGAGUUACAUGCAUGAAACUGAAAACAGAAUUUGACAGGCUAUAGAUCAUAAUUUUUUUUAAUUUGUCUCCCAACUAAAUAACAAGUUUAGCUCUAGUCUACAUGCAUUAAUAUUCCAAACACUCGGCUCAUUAGUCUAAUCAAGGAUGGGAAGACCACACAAAUGUAUGGAUUGUUCAGCAACUCUGACCCCACUCAUUCACACACAUGUAAUAGCCCUGCCAUUCACUCAUGCAUAGAAAUGAUCACAAAAGCAAACAAUGCCGUGCUCACUCAUUCACUUAAUUAGUUAGUCACUGUUUCACUCACUUGGUUGACUCAGUCCUUCAUACUUUCAGCCUUAGAAUCUCAUCUCACUUUCCCAGUGAGUAAUGCCAAUUAAAAUUCACUUAAGGCCCACAUAGAUUGAGAAAAUCAGAAUUACACCCUCAGUCUGACAGAUCCUAAACUUCAUGAAGCAAUCCCUCAAUGUGACUUGGAGUAUUUUAAGACCUUAAGUAGAAAUUUAGUGCAGCACAGGCCUAGCCUAGCCUUUUAUUUUUCUUCUCUUUAGCUCUCUUGCUUUGAAAGCAAAAGACAGGUUUCUACCCUCAGUAUUAUUAAAGCACUAUUGAGAGCAUAAUCUGACUUUUAAAAUGUAAAUUAUAGACAAGGUUUCAACACUUACGUAGUUGUCAGCCAUCUAUCCUUCAAAAAACAUUUCCCAGCAACAGUCUGUGUAGAGACUCAGUUACUUAAUAAUUUUCUUGGCUAAGGUCCAGUUCCCUUAAUUUCUCUUAAUUGUAUGUUUCAUACCCCUCAUGAAGGCUUCAAAGAGGAGAGUGAUAUGUAACACUUUUAAAUUGUUAAACUAAUGACCUUUUUUAUUCUAUGAUUCAAGUUGGAUACAAAUUAAAAUUGGUCAUUCUUUCCAUUACAUAUUUGACCAGCAUAUUCAGCUGACACCUAAAAUGUAGUCUGACAAUCUCAUGACCAAGUCUUGCAUCAUUGCAUGACAGAGUUUAAUGUACAGAGGUCUGUCUGUAUUUGUUCAUACACAUAAAUCACUGCAAUGAUGAUCCUUUCAUAAAGCAUGGCCAUAAAGCAUGAAAAGCUUAUCAUAUUCUGAUUUCAGAAACAGAUUAUGCUCCCAGUAACAGCUUCCUCAGACCAGGAGCAGAGUAUAGUUUUUUUACCAUUUUGAUCUUCAGAGAUGUGUAUAUAAGAAAGAAAUGUGUAUUUGGCAAAGAAUAAUUAGAAAUAACUGGGAAUACUUAUACCUAGGAAGUGAACUCACUGACAGAAUGUCACAAUAGUGAAUGUCUCUGGGUGAUCCCUUUUCUAAAUUUGCAUUGAUUUGUGGAUGUCUUUAUUGAGGGCUAAGACUAGAAAAGAAAAAGCCUGGGGUGCAAAUGUGACAUAUUUUGUACGUUGUACAUCUCCAUAAACUUGUGUAAACAUUUUAUUUUUAUGACUUGCAUUAGUUUGUUUAAUGGAUGGAUGAGUAUCUUUCUCUUUUUACUUUCACUGUAAAGUCUUUACCAUACAUCUUCUUAUACUGAUUUUUGACAAUAUAACUUACCAGUCCUGGCUAGAUAUAACAGUUUAUCAAAUCCACUUUCAAACUAUGGGUAUUCCUAGUCUUCUCCCAUAAAGGCAUUCAGUUCCAUUCAGUUUAAUCAAGUCUGUGUUGGUACCCAUUGUUUUAAUUUUUACAUUUAUGAAUUUACUAACCUUGAAUAUGUCAGAUCUCUUGUGUACAUACAUAAUACAAUAUGAAUUAUUUCAAAACAGGCAUGUAGGGUUGCCUUAAGUGGAAACACUUCCUGCUAUUUUAGAUGUCAGGAUUAUGUAAUUCUAGGACAGAACAGGACAGAACCGUACCUUUACAAAGAAACUGAAAGCAGUCAUAACGUAAAUAUCAAAGAAAAAAUGAGGAGGGGUAAAUGAUGCUAAAAACAGAGGCAUAUGAAUGGCCAAUUCACACAGAGAUGGAAGGGUGGUUACACUUGGAGGUAAUCCUUUGGAGAUGAAAUGAUGAACAGGCAUUUGCUUUUGCAAACAGUCUGACUUAUCACUAUAUGUAUGCUGCAUGUGGCUGCCAGAAGAAGUACCUUCUGCAGCCAAACAUGAAGCUUUAAUUCUAGUCAGUGAACUCUGUCCAUCUGCUAGGGCAAUUUAGCCACUGCCUCUGGAGAACUUUGAUAUAUCAGAAACACAAUAUUCAAAUAGAGCUCGGGCUUUUAAUCUUGGAUUUGGCCUGAUGGGAGACCAUCAUCCAUCAACACUUAUUGAAUACCCACUUGAACCUUUAAAUUUGCAGCAAAAUUAUCCCCUGUGAGUGGCACACUCAGCAGUAUCAUACAGCUAUGCUGCCAAAACCACCUGGAAAUGGGGCCAGGGCUUUGCAAUUGAAGUUGUCAGGCAUAUAUCUUUGUGGCAAUUUUGUGAUAUUAUACCAUUUAGACCUUUAAGUGGUUUGAAUAUAAGAGUAAAUGCAGGUCAGGUAAGGAAUAAAAAGAAAAGGAAAAUGCAAGCAGGAAAGGAAGAGAAAGUAUUUUUCUCACACAACUUAAGCAGCUUCUGUGACCACAAAAUAAUCAGACGUAGAUUAUUUGAGGUAAAAGAAUUUCCUAUAGAUAGUCUUAAAGACAAGUUCAUUUCCAGUUGAAGGCAGGGGAAGUUAAUUAAUCGCUUUCACAAAUUGAAAUGGAUGAUCACAUGCAACAACCUUCAUCUCUUUGUGUUAAAGAAAGCUAAUGGGAAAUCACUUACACUGCUUCAGUUGUUGUAUGAAAACAACACUGGAGCUUUCCUUUCAGCAACAUUUCUCCUUAGAAAAAAGGAUACUCUCCUGCAUUCUAUAUAGAACCAUAGAUUGCACCACUCUUCUUCCCACCUUUAUUUGUCUUACACCACAGUAAAAUCUUGAACGCAAUUAUGACAGAGCUCAGGUGGCCCAGCAUAGUGAAAACACUUAAACCCAGUAUAAAAUACCUUUAUCAUGAGGCAAACACUCAGUGAAAGGUCAGGUAGCUUUCUGUUACUUGGGGAUGUGUGUGAGGUGUGUGGUACGCGCAACUGAUGCAUUUGCAGAGCUAGGAACCAGCUGCAUGUGUUACCAUUCACAGCAUCAGAUGCAGGCAGCCCAUAAAUGGCACAGAAAUCUGUGCAUUUUCCUGUAACAGCAUUGCAUCACAUCCUGGCUAUGUUUAGCAAUGUUUCAUCUUUUCUCCAUGCACGCAGUCUAUUUAGUUGUCAUUGUUAGACAAUAUGCUCACUCUUGCCACUGAACUUGUUUAGCACCUAAACUGAGAACAUCUCCUUUGGCUGGGUGAGUUUUCAGGUACCAGCUCUUGUGACAAAUGCAUCGAGUGAAUUGGCAGCCGCUCUUUAGUUGCACAGCAGGCAAAGAGUCCACAGCACAAGUAACUCCUGAUAGCAGGGACCCUUAGAGCAUGGUGUGGUGCUUCUUUUGGGGGCACACCUUUGGGUCUGCUGUCCUUUCCAGCACCCAGGCCCUGUGCCUUCAGCCCACAGCACUCUGCUUUUGAGUGUGGGGGAGGCCAGGAAGGACGGUGCAGGACUCUCAAGCACCAUUCCUGAGAUAUGGCAGGUCUGACAGACACUGUUGAAUGUGUUAUAUCUUGCAAUGGCUCGUCUCCUCCACAUUUAGCCUAAAGAACACCAUACCCAAAGUUACACUGGCCUAUUUUCUGAUUAUUAAAUUCAAUUCUGCAGAGAAGCAUAUGGCAAAUGGGGAAAAAAAAGAGGUCAGAAAGGAUGUGCAAAACAGUUCAUAAGGCUGCAUUUCUUUCAAAGAAAUUGGUCCAUAAGUACCAGUAGGAUAUUAAUGUAAAACAUUUUAAAACAUAGCUGAUCUCAGAGUGGCUAGUUACAAAACAUAAUCAUUAAUUGCUUGUUAAAAGUUAACACAAAAUCCCUGCUUUUUUAUAAUAAUGUUACAAGAGGCCAAUACUUUAAAAAGGGUAGGGUAUAUGCUGAUUUCUGUGUAAUCAUUGCUGUGGAUAAGAGAUAAAUGUUAUUAUGUCCCUAAACUAGGACAUUAAUAUAUGGAUGGCACUUCUUGAAUAAAUAAGAUAUAUUAAAAAAACUCAAAACACAAAGAAACAAAGAUCAUACUCCUAAACGUUCUGCUGGAUGAAAUAUUCCUUGCAGUGCUACCGGCUUUGAUUGUAGCUGUAGGUGUAAGCAGGACAGUGUGUGCAUCCUCCUUCCCUCCCCUCCAGCGAGCAAGGGAGCUGGAACACAAGCAGGCUGAAUCUCUCCAGGCUGUGUGACUAAUCCGUGGAGCCCACCAGCCCUCGCCACAGAGGAGACCCAGCCCAAAGCUGCACACAGCUUUGUCACGCUGCCAUUCCGGAGCACAAAGGAAAGCGACGCUGCCAUCAGCAAGUCACCAGCUUAUCUACAAGAAUUACAGAGGCAGCUAUCGGCGUGUCUGCUGCGCGCUGCUGGUGCUGGGAGCAGCCUUGCUGUGCCUCUCCUGGACGAAACCGGAUGGGCAAGGGGAAAACUGGCCAACAUCUCUCGUUAUUCCAGGCCAAGAUAGUUCCCGGACAGGUCUUGCUUGGUUCCCCCAGCCAGAUGGAUAAAAUGCCAUAUGAUUCUGACUACCAGGAAAUCUUAGGAUAAUAGUGCAUAAAGAACAACCUCUACUUUGGAAAUACCACCUUGUCUGAGACGUUAAAAAUAUCUAAAAGAAACCACUUAAUUGUGCUUUGUAGCAAAAUUUUAUUUGCACCUUCUUUUUCCUGGACUCAAAUGCCACUCUUUAAAGGGAGAAAAGAGGCACAGAAGUAUCCCCGUGGAAGCAAUCAUAGUAGGGACAUCCUCCGAUGCUGUCAAACAAUUAUUUUUAUGUCUAAUUGAUGCUGGUGAUCUAGCACUGACAAAUCCUUAUUCUACUAUUUUAGUCAUACAUAUAAUAUGAACAUACAUGUUACAUUCAUGUGUUGGGAACAUGGAAAAAGCUCUCCUACAGUGCAUUAGCUAUAAAAAAGGGUAAAUGCUUUCAACAGUUCCAGAAGGGUCUAAAACUGA